rnacentral:rRNA from 1 species
GUCUACGGCCACACCACCCUGAAUGUACUCAAUCUUGUCUGAUCUCAGAAGCUAAGCAGGGUCAGCCCUGGUUAGUACUUGGAUGAGAGACAAAAACAGAUAAAUAUCCACC